UAUGCAUUCACACUCCCAUAUUGUGAAGUAUUGCCAGUUCACCUGCCUCAUGUUAUGAUCUUCUGCCUGUUUAUUGGAUUCACGUUUCUGGAUUACCCUUUUUGUCUUGUUGACCUUAUUGGAUUGUUUGUCUGUUACCUACUUCUGCCUGUUGUACUGACCACGUUUGAGCCUUCUGAUUUGGAUUUGGUCAUUAAACUCUCCUGCAUAAUGGAUUCUAACCCGACCUCUAGUCUGAGUUCGUUACAGUCUCCAUCUUCCAAAGGCAUCUCCAAUAUCUAUCCUUGUUUUACUACGCCUGUGGUAAUGGUGGUUUUUAGAUGGAUGGCGAGGCUUUUUAGGUCAGGUGGAAUCUGUUAUCUCUAAUCCAGUUUGUUUGCUGGCUUCCAUGGCUGCAGCACGCAGUGUUGUUUGCCCACAAACUUGUUCAAAUCUGGCAACCCGGCAGUGUCAAAAUACUAUUGUAGGUCCUCGUGUUGGUACGGUUACUCACCUCAGUCUGGGUGGCAGAGGACAAGUCUCAGUUGCCUCCGCUUCUGAGACCGUCAAUCCACGCAUCUUAUCACAUGGCUCCCUGUGCAUGACACCGCGGAGACUUGCAGCAUGUGGAGGCUCAUGCUACUCUCCACGAUGCACACACAACUUACCACGCGCCCCAUUGAGAGCGAGAACCACUAAUCACAACCACAAUGGAGGUUACCCCAUGUGACUCAACGCUCCCUAGCAACCGGGCCAAUUUGGUUGCCUAGGAGACCUAGCUGGAGUCACUCAGCACACCCUGGAUUCGAACUCAUGACUCCAGGGGUGGUAAUCAGCGUCAGUACUCAAUGAGCUACCCAGGCCUCCCUAUGUCAUGUAUUUUUAAACAUUAUUGUACAUCUUGUCGAAUGUUGUCCUCAAUGUGCAAAUUGAAGGCUGCAAAAAAAUCUAAAUGUAAAGGUGUGUGUUAUGCAUUGUAUGCAAAAAAUAUUGCAAUAUAAAUUGCAUAUGCUUUUCACAUUAUAAAAAACAAAAACAAAAAACAAGUGUUUGUCCACAGUUUUAAUGUAUUUAAUAUAUUUAAUGUAUUUUUAUGUAUAUAUUUAAUGGGAUAAGGAGAGUUCCCUGCUCACUGUGUAAAGUGCAUUGAGUGCAGUGUCAGAAAAGCGCUAUAUAAAUAUAACGUUCAUUCAUUCAUUCAUUUAUCAAAAUCAAUAUUUUAGUCAAAAUGUUUGCAGACCCUUUCUCUGUCAUCACACUCCGUUUUGUUGACAUGCAUGUGCAUGCACUUGCUCUGUGCAGUAAGCCUAUUUAAAGUAAUAAUGACUCUCUUGCUGUUUUGAACUUGUUGUUUUGCCAAAUAUAAAUGGAAACUUG